AGUGAACGUUGGCGGCGUGCCUAACACAUGCAAGUCGAACGAUACCCGAGUAGCUUGCUAUUCGGGAAGAGUGGCGAACGGGUGAGUAAUACGUGGGUAAUCUCCCCUCGAGUGAGGAAUAAUCUCGCGAAAGCGUGACUAAUACCGCAUAAUACUCUGGAGCACAAGCUUUCAGAGUCAAAGCCUUCGGGCGCUUGAGGAUGAGCCUUCGGCCUAUUAGCUAGUUGAUAGGGUAAUGGCCUACNCAAGGUUAUGAUGGGUAGCCGGCCUGAGAGGGUGUACGGCCACACUGGGACUGAGACACGGCCCAGACUCCUACGGGAGGCAGCAGUGGGGAAUAUUGCGCAAUGGGCGAAAGCCUGACGCAGCGACGUCGCGUGGAGGAUGAAGGCCUUCGGGUUGUAAACUCCUGUCAGAAGAGAAGAAAGCCCGAGUGAUCGGGUUUGACGGUAUCUUCAGAGAAGCCCCGCUAACU
rnacentral:rRNA from 1 species